GCCUCAUUGGCUCAGGGGGAGAGCGUCUGUCCAGUAAACAGAAGGCCGCUGGUUCGAUUCCAGCAUGAGGCA
rfam:Anisakis simplex genome assembly, scaffold: ASIM_scaffold0000105